UGUUAUUGUUAAUUGGGAUUUAUCAUUACUCUGUUAAUCACCGAGUUGAGCUAAAGUAAAUCAAUAGUAAAAUAUAAAUAAUAUAAAUAUAAGAAUAAAACCCCAAAGAGUAUGUUUAACACCCCUACUGGUUAGGAAGGAACAAGCCCCGCCUUCCCCUGCUCUGUACCGUCACGUGCUCAGACACAGAGAGAGACGGAGGUGCACGAGACCAUCGCUGAUUUUCACCGCCAAGCUUGUUGCUGGAAAAUAACUAUUAACUUGAUAAAUUGAGCAAAUAUCCAUACCGGAGAUCUGCAUGGACCUUGGAGAAACGGACCUGAUUUGUUGUGAACAUUUUGGACUUUGAAGCCAUCGCGUGUGAGUUGGAAGCUGUUAAGCUAACCUUGAAGCUAAAAAGCUAACAUGAAGUUAACGGAGAAUAUAAUGGCCCAAUUUCAACGUUGUAGAUCUGCACGGGUGCGGAUGAAGUGGACAAGAUCCUCUCUGAGAGUUGAACAUUAGAAGUGUGCUGGUUAGGGCUAGGUUUUUUCGUGGGAUCGUGAGACCUGGAUUUCUUCCUGACGAGGAAGAUGGCGAGCCUUUCCCUUUGAACCGAACCACAGCCAUUCCGAGUUGGCCCAGAAGGGCAGGUUGCUCUUCUUUCACGAACAAUUGCAACAGUGCGGUAGGACGAAAUCGCACCAAUCACAGACUUUUGACCUAUUGGAUUUGACUUGACUGAACACUGACUAUUAAGCCGGCAAGACUGACAUAUCUGAGCUCAGAUAGGAUUCUGAUUGUUAUUAUUAAUGCUGUCACUGUACUUUAUUUUAUGUUUUCAUUCCUGUUUAUGAAGUGCUGUUAAAUUGUUUCUUAAUAGUUUAAUAUAAUUCAAAGCAACUUUACCUGUGGCUCCACUCAUUCUUCUCCACGCAACUCACUUUAUCCCUCCUACGAAUCUAGCUAUUGGCCCAUUCUCUCCAUCUUGCUUUAACUUCCCCUACCCUAUCCUGUACUUGGCUACAUUGUCAUGUCAUGAUUGUCACACAUCUAAAAUAGCAGAUAAUAAUACCACUUUUGUUUUGAAGGUUACAGCAAGGAAUAACUUAGCUUAGGAUGAAAAUUUGAAGAAAAAAAAAUCACUGAUUGUGUGUAAGAGACAAAUGUAGCUAAAGCCCGUCUAGCAGCAAGUCUUGUAACAAAAUUAGCAGCUAUCUUGAAACAAGACCAGAUUAUUUUGGAGCCACUAUCUAAAUAAUGGAGAUGGAGGCAUAAUUUUAAUUUUGAUGGUCACUAACAGAUGAAAACUUCACAGUAACAUAAAUCAUGCUGAAUAAAAACUCUUCAAAAAGUCUGGACAAAAAGACCAAAAAACUUUUUUUUCCUCAUCAAGAUAUAGUUGUACAAUACAUGCGCACUGUUUCCCAACUAUUCAACUUCAUUUUGAGCUCGAUGCAAGGUGGACACCAUCCUGCUCAUGCCACAUGAGCACUUGAACAAAUCUAGUGCUGAAUGUGAAUCUCCACUGUUUGCAUGUGUAAUUGCAACAUCAUGAUGGACAAUAUGUGGAUAUAUAUUAGCGUUUUGCAGACACAUGAUUGCUAACCAACUGAGGUUAACUUAUUGGCCAUUUUGGGUGUUGAACAAUCAUGGUGUCAUUGUAGGAUCUUGUGUGGUCAUUUUACCUGUUUAGCGUUAUUGCUGGGCUAUCCUAAAAAGUAGCCAAACUGGGUUGGCAGGUUCGAAUUUUCAGCCAGUGCUAGUUACUUUGGUUAGCCGGCUGGAUCCAUCAACUGUAUGGAUGCAUUAGACAGGCAUAGAUACCUGCUAAGCAAUGCUUAGUAACAUUGACAGAAAACAUCUUCCUGAUUAGGUUGUCAGCAUUAAUGACACAGUGAACCACGUUUUUUGUUUUUUGUUUUUUAACUUUCAAAAAGCACCAAUGCUACAAACAUAGUUGAAAAGAUGCAGUUUAGUGACUCGAAUGAGCAGAAAUAUUACUUAGACAGCUCUAUCAGCCAGCUCUCUGUAAAACCUGCCCCAUACUUAAUAAUUGAUACAUUUAAGCAUUAAUACAAUAGGAAUUGGUACUUAUAAAAAUACAUUCCUCCCUCUACAGCAGUCCCAGCAGGGAAAGUGCCAGUUAUUAUUAUGUGUAAUUCAUUUUUUCUGUAUAGGUGGGCAUUUUAACACUGGGUCUUUGGGGAUUCACUCACUUUUGGAGCCAGCCUCAGGUAGACAUUUGAGGAACUGCAAUUUUUUGCCAUUUAAGCUUCAUUCUUCUUCCCAGGAGUUUGCUGCUUGCUGGAGAAACUGGGGGGGGGGGGGUAACCUGACUCUGUCCAAAGUCCAAAUCAUCACUUUUUAAUUUGUAUUUCAUCCUUUUUUUUAUUUGCCAUAAUAUGCAUAAAAUCGUAAAAAUGGUUAUUUGUGUUUUCUCAGUUAAAUAAAAGAGACUGUGAACAGCUCGUUACUUGUUGGAUCACUAUCUAUACUUAAAAAAAUGUUAAAAAAUUGAUUCAUGGAUUCAUUUGUGACUCCUCACUGGUCUUUAGUUCUGAUAGAGUUAAAGGAAGUGCUUUGAAAUCACUUAUGCAGGGAAAAAAAAGAAAAGAAAUCAUUCCCAGGCGUGACCCAUUUCAUUUUAAUGCCUGCUUGGCUACACUUUCCUACAUUGUGAUAUUUUUUUUCUUUUGAAACCAGGCUUCAAGGCAUAAAGAGCAGGAAACUGUAAGGAAUGAGUAACCAAGCUGUGGCCCGUGUCAUGCUGUCUCGCCUUAGCGGAUUGUAAUGAGAACUAUGCCCCUGCAUCAUAAUCACCGGUGACCCUCACGCUAAGACUUGAUUGGCUCCUCUGUGGCCUCCUGGGUGUCCUCUGAGCAAGGUCCUGACCGUCCACUGGUUCGGACCUGACCAGAAUAUUCAUGAAUGUGUAUGUUUGAAGGCAUGGAGGCUUAUAUUGGUUUGUCUAAAUAACCCAGGGUGCUGCUGCCAGGGGAGAAGACCAGGUCGAAGUGAUGGGUUUCUGAUGGAUGUGUUCAGCUUCUGCGUGUGUGUAUGUGUGUGGUUUGGUUUCUCUCCUAAACCAUCAAUGAGUUGAUAAACUAAUUUGGCUGGGAUUUGUCUUACCUGCCAAUACUGUGAACGCUCUUCAAGAAUCGAUGAAUAGAGGUUCAGGCACGACUCUUUCAGAGUGAACCUGCUUCCUCCGUGAUGCUGCUGUAUAAUGACAUCACGCUGCUGAGGGGAUUCGUGUAAACGGAACCAUAUGGCUGUGAGCACCUCUGCUUUCUGUCAACCUGUUAUUGCUCCCCACUACUCAUCUAAUGUGCACAUGCUUAGAUGCUCUGCCAUUGUUCUGAAUGUUAGCAAAGCGACUAUAGCUCAUACGGUAAUAUCACACCACCUGUCGGGAAGGUUAAUUGUUCCGAGGGAAACUCUCAGAGCUCAUUUUAUUCACUCUGUUGUUUUUAAUAUGUAUCUGUUUAUUGGCUGAAUGAAGAAAGUCGUGGUAUUUAGAUUUUGUAAUAGCAUGAAAUAGCAGGGGAUUCGUGCUGAAAUAAUUGUGUAUGUAUGUGUUCCCGUAUAUCAGUGUGUACUUUUAAUGCUCAUUAAAAUAUUCAUUAUUAUUUCUAUUUGAAUAUCGUUUACGAUCAUAAAGCUUCUGGUUGUUUCGUCUCUUCUCAUAAAGGCGGUAGACGCAUUAUUCGUGUUUUCCAAGGUUACACACAGCACCAAAAUUCCCACAGCCAUCACUGCAUUUGUUUUGCUGAGAGGAAUACAAAUGUGCUGUGUCUGGCACCCACAGAGAUGCUCUGAACCACAGUAGGAAUCACACAUCCAAACUACAUUUGAAUUUGCAAGUCUCUCUCCAGGCUGGAAACAACACCUCUGGGUCAUUUCUCUAUGAACAUUUUUUGACGGGCACGGAGGAAUGGAGUUAUGUUUUUGACAACUACAAACGCUACACCAACCCAUCCUGUCAUAAAAAUCUUUGACAUAUAUAAUUUAUUACUUACAUUUAUUAAGUUAAACAUAUGAAUAUGUGAUGUCUUAUAGUCAUUACUCACUCUGUUAUGUAGUGUCUUGACCAGCAUCAGAGGGACUUUAGCACAGUUGCCCCGUGGAGAACAUCCUAUCUCACACUUUUACCACGGUGUGGGAAUCGUAUCCUAUAAGUUAAAGCUGCAAUUUAGAUAAUUAAUAUCUUUUACAAAAGAUUUACAAAAGUAUUGCAACCAAUAAAUUGUAUGAACUGUUUACCCACAAAGUCUGCACACAAGCGAAAAAUGAACAGUUUCUCAAAUUAAGGCGUGUCCUUUCUGUGAGAGGCUUUAAGCAGUGACCCGGCCAGGACAACAAAUACAAACACAGAAUCACCCAGAUACACCUGAAAAACUGUACAAGCGAUUGAACACAACAGCCAGAUCAUCACUGGGUACUUUUCACUUCCUUAUAUCGUUGUUUAUGUGUAUGUUCUGAAAUCCCUCAGCUUCUGUUUCAGGUCACACUGAUGAUGAUGAUGAUGAUGGCUCAUAGCAAACACACGUGUCUGACACAAAUGUGAACAUUAAGAAGCAGCAUCAAACUGUGAUGACUACAGAUGAUGUCAUCUCUGUAUAACUACCAGGAACAAAGUGCAGCUUCUUUCUUGUGUCACUUGUAUAUUUUUCUUCCAAAACUGAGCGCUAUCAUUGUGUUCCCAUGGCAGCGGCUCAGAUAAAGACCAUGGUGAACCAGCUGGGGACCAGACAGGACACCAGUGAACUGCAGGAUCGGCUGCAGCAGACACAACACUACACCAACCAACUGGCAAAAGAAACCAACAAACACCUGAAAGAGCUGGGAUCAAUCCCUCUGCCCUCAUCGCCUUCAGAGCAA